CCUGAAGAAUUAAGUCUUCCAUUUAUCGACAGAACAUGUGCAGCUUUGGCACAAGCAGCAUAAAUUACCCACUGUUUCCUGUCAAUGGGUUUUCUGUCUUGCUUGGGAGAUGCGCGUCUGCAGGAGAGGAUUGCUCAGACAGAUGCUUGGUCUUU
ensembl:misc_RNA